rnacentral:lncRNA from 1 species
GCCCAUGGUGGAUGACUCCGGCACUGCCCAAGACCAGAUUGCCAACAUUGCUUAUGAUUGGGCUGGCCACUGAUUCUCAGUGUCAUUUGGGGCUUGAUUCAUUAGUAGGUAGCCUCAGUCCCACUCAUGGAUAAAUAUGGAGAUGUGUGUGUAGAGAGUUUCUAGGGGCUUUGGAUUACUUACUAGUAGCCUCGCAACUAUUGAGGAUCGAUUUUGUCGAUAGAGGCUUAGGCAUUGCUUGGAGGCAAAUCAUUCCUCGAGCAAUUUUAGGACCACCUAGAGUAGGUGCUUUGGCUCUGCAUGGGAGUGAGUUGGCUGGCGUGCUUUGGCACCAUUGGAGGUCAGAUACAAGGGAGAAGAUUGGCAUCAUAAACUCCAAUACC